AACGAACGCUGGCGGCAGGCCUAACACAUGCAAGUCGAGCGAACCCUUCGGGGUUAGCGGCGGACGGGUUAGUAACGCGUGGGAAUAUACCCUUUGGUACGGAAUAGCCUCGGGAAACUGAGAGUAAUACCGUAUGUGCCCUUCGGGGGAAAGAUUUAUCGCCAAAGGAUUAGCCCGCGUUGGAUUAGAUAGUUGGUGGGGUAAUGGCCUACCAAGUCUACGAUCCAUAGCUGGUUUGAGAGGAUGAUCAGCAACACUGGGACUAAGACACGGCCCAGACUCCUACGGGAGGCAGCAGUGGGGAAUCUUAGACAAUGGGCGCAAGCCUGAUCUAGCCAUGCCGCGUGGACGAUGAAGGCCUUAGGGUUGUAAAGUCCUUUCAGAUGGGAAGAUAAUGACGGUACCAUCAGAAGAAGCCCCCGGCUAACUCCGUG
rnacentral:rRNA from 1 species